GUCCCGUCGCGGCUCAGCGGCUCCUGCCGGCAGCUUCGGCCGCUGCCACCUCAACGGCCGCCAUGACACCCCUCCUAAACACCAUAGAGAGCGACGGCUCGGGCUAGAGCGCCCCCGCGGGGGCGGAUAUGGCGAGUGUCUUUAUGUAAAUUUGAGAGUAUCAACAGAUGCAAAGACAUCAGAGAUGAUGAAAUGUCAGUUAUGGGCAACAGAAAACUACCUCACUGCUGAUGUGCACACACACAUCUGGUGCAAAGUCCACUGAUACCUGAGAUGAAAUUUCAAUGUUUGAUGAUCCUGUGCCCAAUCAGCGUAUAAGGGAAAGCAAGUAUUCAAAUACAUCGGUCAAGUGAGAAACAUUAGAAGCUAUAAUCGUAUUUAUUUAAAAAAGUGAUAUCAAAUACAACCAUAUAUAUUCAUGCCUAUUUGGAGAGCAUUUUCAAAAUAUCGAACAGCGCUGCCAUUUUCCAAAACAAUGACAAAGCAUUUCCGCUUUCCCUUUUUAAUCUUUUCAGUAUUCUAUGCGUUAUAUACACAAAUAGACAAAAAUUAUACAGGAGUCCAGAGCCAAGGACAUGAUACUGAAAACAGUCUUGACCAAAAAAACCCAAAACUAUUACUGAAAUAAGAUUUCUAAAAUACACAACUAUUAGGCAAGAGAUGAAAAAAAAA